GGGGAUUUAGCUCAGUGGCAUGAGCACUUGCCUUCCAAGCAUGGUCAUGAGUUCGAUCCCCG
rnacentral:tRNA from 1 species